GACAGAGGGUGCAAACGUUGUUCGGAAUUACUGGGCGUAAAGCGCGUGUAGGCGGCUAAGCAAGUCGGGCGUGAAAUCCCACCGCUCAACGGUGGAAGUGCACCCGAAACUGCAUAGCUAGAGUCCUGGAGAGGAAGGUGGAAUGCUUGGUGUAGAGGUGAAAUUCGUAGAUAUCAAGCGGAACACCGGUGGCGAAGGCGGCCUUCUGGACAGUGACUGACGCUGAGACGCGAAAGCGUGGGGAGCAAGCAAGGAGUA
rnacentral:rRNA from 1 species